CUAGAAUCUUACGUAUGCUAAUAAGCUUUUGACUGCAAUUUCGUGGUACGGUAUUUCCUGCUGGCAUCUUGGUGGUCCCACGGAGCUCCCCACCCUCCAGUGAAGGUGGCUGUCCACAACUACCACCGUUGAAACCAAAAUGGCCCCAAAGGGCCCUCAGCAACUCAGGUCACUCCUCUGGCCUCUCCGGAUGGUGCCUCACCUUGUUGACCUGGGACAGUGGGGUCCUCACGGCUCCCGCAGGCAGCCGGCCCCGGCUGCUGUCUUCAAACAGCCUCCCAGGACAGGAAGAGAAAGAGGACAACAAAAGAAAAUCAAGCUUCCUGGUCUCAGUGCAGGUUUUUACUGCCAGAACCUGUGCUAAGCUCUUUAUGUGCUUUGACUCACUACAUUGUCAUGACAGCUCCACAAGCUAAGAGCAGGCAUGACCCUCACAGCAGAGGCGAUGUGGAGACAGGGAGGCUGAGUGCCUGGCCUGAGCUAGGGAGAUGCAGAACUGGGAUUCCGACACAGGUCAGUUUGACAUCCUAAUCCCCACCCAGUAUCCUACUGACCUAAGUAUUUUGCAGAAUCUAUAAGGCACAGAAGGAAGUCUUCAUUUAGGGGAGGAGGCUGUUCAAAGGCCCUUGAUGCAAGGGAGCAAUUUUGAGAAAGCCUGUACACAUCUGCCAAUUCUGUCUCACUCGUUGGCCUGGUGUUUGGUCACCUCUCCUUCCAGGUGGCUUUCCAAGCAUCUUUGUGGCACCCAAUACUGAUGUGAGAGGGAUCAGGCCUGACAGAAUUAGAAAACUGAGCAGGACAAAAACAGUACAGUUGCUCAAAACACGGCCCUGGCCCUGAAGAUUGACAGUUAAUAACCAAACAAUAGAAAACACUGGGGCCUUUUUGUAUGGCCAAUCCAACCCUCCCCCGAGCCCGGCCUGGAUAUUUCGAAUGAAGAUUUCAGCAGGUACGGCCCUAACCACCUCUCUGAAGAAGGGAGAUCCAGAAACAGAACUGAGAGUUAAUUCCUUCCCACCCCAACGAGCAGAAAAAGUACUCAGUCCUCCUCAUCUCAGUAUAAUUAGAGCCAGGAAAAGGGAACCGACUUAACAUGGGCACAUUUUAUGGAGAAUAUUACUUGGAGAACAUGUUUUGAUUGAUUGGAACUUUAUCUCAGAAAAUAAAAGUAGAAAUCGGGCAAGUAAAUUUAUCCUCGUUAUUUUUAAAAUCUAAAUUACAAUUGGAAUUACAGGCUGAUUCUAAGAAUGAGCCAAGUAUGAAUCACAUACUGAUUUAUCUUGCUCUAAUUUUUGCAGCGAAAUUGUAUGCUAAUAUGCUCGAUGACAUACUUUCCAUCAAUGUUGGACUUUUGCAGUAAAAUCAGUCAUUUCUUCAGAAAUGUUUGAGAGAGUCACUGGUUUUCCCAGAGGCCCAUCUUAAUCCUUGAUAUUUAAAUCCUUCUCUUUGGAAGGGGCCAAGUUAGUUGAUUUUUUCUUCAAUUAUUGGUCCAACUACCAGAAUCUCUUUGUCAAUGCUCAUAAUUGAAAACAAAUGAGAAGCAAAGGCACCUACUGGGGGAGGAGAGACUCUAGAGCAAGCUUGAAGGCCAAAUCUGGACAGAUGCCCUGGUUUUAUAAAUAAAGUUUUAUUGGAACACAGCCAUGCCCAUCUGGUUUUGCACUGGUUGUUCGGCUUUCAUACUACAACAAUAGUUGAAUGGUUGAGACAACCAUAUAGCCCACAAUGCCAAAAAUAUUUACUAUCUGGACCUUAACAGAAGUUUGCUGAUUCCUGCUCUACAGUGAAACAGAGAGAGUUUCAUUUCUUGCUCUGCUAAACAGACCAGGGCAAUGAGGCCUGCAGCGAAUCCUAUUCAGCCAAGCUGGGCUUCUACAUUCUGACCUGCCAAAGCAGUCUGCAUGAAAAGAUCAUUUUAGAAGCCAAGAGACAACCAAAGACUAACUGUUGAUUUUCCACACAUGCCUGGCAACAGCAGGAAAGCAACAGCAGUAUUUCUGCCUCUUGUUCAAAGGAACCGGAACCGUUUCCAACCACAGGAAUAAGCAACUUCUUACAGAGACACCAUAUAGUCUCAGAAGGAAAGUGCCUGCCAUCUAAUUAAUGAGGCAGUGGAGGAAAAAAAAAAAAAAAUCUAAUUAUGGUACUUUGAUUUGUUCUUGGCAUGACUUGGAAACUACUUAAAGAAAAUCUGGACGUUUCAGGAUAGAACUGUAGCCCUUUGAACAGUUCCUUCUGAGGCAGGGUCAAGCCAAAAGAGUUGGGAACCGCUGGUUAUUUGGCACUUCUGAUUUUCUAGCAAGUGCCUGGGACUAAAACCACACUGACCAAAAAUUCAGACUAUUAUAUUUCAAUAGAAGAAAAACUAUUCAUUAGGACAUAGUCUCAGAAUAUUAAAUUUAUGAUUUUUUUCAAGAUCUAAGCAUUUUUUAAUAUUAGAGAUAAUUACAAUGUGGUGGAGGGACUAAGUCCCUUGAGAAUAAAAACAUGUCUUCAUCUGUGGAUCCCCAGCCCCAGACAUUGUGUCUAGCACAUGGUAGGGGAUCCAUGUAAUUCUUUACAGAGUAGACAUACCAUUCCAGAAAAAUUUAAAUCCUAGGUCAGUUAAAUAUUCCCCUUAGGUUAAAUAAUCUCAAUUUAUUUGCAGACCAAGAUCUUAAAGUUUAUACAUCAAAGCUCCACAUCGACCUGGAUCUGGCUCACAGCCCUCUGUGUCAAGACCAGGUCAGUCCCACUUCCAUGCACUGCUGAUGGCAUUGCAGAUGGAUCUGGCCUUCAGGGAGGAAUUUUCAGCAAGAUCUAUCAAAAUUACAAACAGACGUCUGAUGUCACCCGUCAAUUUUGUUUCUAGGAAUUUAUCCUACAGAUAGAUUCCUAAGCAUGCAAAAUGACAGAAGCACAAAAUCAUUUAAUUUACUGUAGCAACAGUCUGUAAAUAACCCUAAAAUCCAUUGAUAAAAAAGCAGUUAAAUAAAUCAAGGUCACAUGAAGGAAUGCUAAGUAGGCAUAAAAACAACAAUGAAGAAUACUUCUGAUGCCAACGUGGAGCAGUCUCCAAGGAACAUUAGGUACAAGAAUGUGUGCUGCGCUACCACCUGUAUCAAAAAGAGGAAAAGCACUUCCAGAAUGGUACAGCAAGGAUCGCCGAACACCCGUUCCUCCAUAAAAGCAACAAGAACACUGGCAACAGCCGUCAAAAUAAACUUUUCAGAACUCUGGAAAUUAACCAGACUUGUAAGAACUCUAACAGCAAGGGCAUUUAUGCAAGAAAAAUAACUGAUAAUCCCAGUAAGAACAAGUUUUGUGACAUGUUAAUGUGACCUAUUUCUACCCCCUUUCUCCCCAGAGCUGCAGUUUUGAAACUAAGAGCCCUCUAAGAGCCCUGUAAGAGUAGCCUCUGGAGAGAGAUCAGGAUCGAAACUCCCCAAAAAGCCCCAUCCCCAGAAAACAGUCUGACCUGCAUGGCUACUCCCCAGAAAAGACCAUUUGCAGGGCUUUUUCCUUGACCCAAGUCAGGGCUUGCUCAUGAGAAAAGCCCUAUUCCCAGAUGUUUAUCAAGAACAAUCAACAGCAAGUGUUUAAUCUGCCAAAUACCUGAGGGAGUGCUACCAGUUGGGGAAGAGGCUGGCCAAAACACUCAAAAGGAAAUCUGGGAAUAAGAUGUCUGCAAGGCAUUUUGAAAUGGUCCUUUAUAUUCAUAGGGAUUUAGAAGGCCAUGCACACAGGAAAAACCUGAGAAGGCUUCAGUUCUCAAUUCUGGCUGACUUUGAGCAUUGAAGGUAUGCCCAACACACACGUGCACGCACACACACAAACCCUAAGCAAAAGGUGAGAGACUUACUGAUUCAAUGCAUUGAACAAAAUCUCUGCCCUGUCAUUAGCUGAUAACUAACCUAACCAAGCAGAAACUUGAAUGGCCAGCCCCACGUAACAAAGAAUACAGACUUUACAGAUUUAGUCCAGGAGAGUCACUCAAUAAACAGGAACAACAGGGGCCCUUGGGUGGCUCAGUCGGAUGAGCAGCCAACUCCUGAUUUUGUCUCAGGUCAUGAAUUCUUGGUUCAUGAAUUCAAGUCCGGCAUUAGGCUUUGCACUGUCUGUGCAGAGCCUGCUUGGGAUUCUCUCUCCCUUUCUGCCCGCCUGCCUCAAAAUAAAUAAACAUUAAAAAAAUAACACCAAAAACAGCAACAACAAAAACGGGGGAGAGGUGGGGAACUGAUUUCCAGAGUUGCCACAUUAUAGUAUUUGAAAUGUUCAGCCUCCCAACAAAAAAUUAGAAGACAUGCAAAGAAAGAGGGAAGCAUGGCCCAUACGGAUGGUGUUAUUUCUUCUGGGAAAUCUUCCCUGGUCCCCAAGUCCAAGCUAGGAACCCUGUUCUGGGCUCUCGUGGUGCCUUAAACUACCCCAGUCAGAGGCCCAUCCUUCUAAGCUAGGCUAUAAUUGCCUGAUUGCUCAUUAUGGCCUCUCUCCCACUGGGCUCUAUCAGGGAGGGACUGCAUCUGGUUCUUCAGCACCAUACCUCCUGCAGCAACCCCAAGUAGCAUGGCAGAGUAUCUGCUAAAGCAAUGAAUGCACAAUUCAUGAUUCUAGUGCCACUAAAAAACUCAACAGAGAAAGACCAGACAUUUCCUUCCACCUUUUUCCAAGGGGGCAUUUAAAAAUUCUCCUGAUGCUCGUAAAGGGCACUUUAGUGCUAUAGAUCCCAAAGAAAUGAGUGGCUUGAGCUUGAAGACUGGGAAACCUUUGACCAGUUUAGCAAAAUUUCCUGCUAUCUUACAGAAAAACACUCUGCCUCCUGUAAUGGAGAAGUGUUGUACCUGCGGGAGGUGGAGGGGCCCCGGUGGUGGUCAGUGCCGGACUCCUUCACAAGGUUUCCUUUGCAGCAAAUAACCCUUAAUUUAUCCUGGUAUGAGGACGCCAGGUAAAUCGCUCCUGAGGAAAUUGCAGGGCCCAAGUAGCGUGGGUUCGGGAUUUCCAAAUACGCUCGGGCAGGGGUCCUAUGGAGUUCCAGAUAAGAGUUUACAUUCAGGUUAUCUCCGUUGCUAGAUGGAAUGGAAAGAAACACACACUUGGCCCCAAGCCCCAACCGCCGAGGUUUUCAAAGUCUGAAAGGGCAAUGCUUACCCCAGAGAAGAGCGUGCCUGGAUCUCAAUUACUUCUAGUGAGUUGAAGUGGGUCACAAACAGAUAGGGUUCUCUGUAGGCUGCAUGGCCACCACAGAAGAGCAUGGGCAAGGAAGGGUUAAAAGAGAAACUCAAAACCAGGCUGCAAGGCCACCUUGGACCUAGCAGUCCCACCUAAAGGGAUUUAUCCUACACAUACAUCCAUGUGCCAACAUAAUGAGGCAUGUUCAAGUAUACUCACUGCCAUGUUGUCAGAGCAGACGAUGGGAACCAACUCAAGGGGACAUUAUAGGGGUCAGUUAAAUAAAUUAUGGUACAUCUGUGGAAUUCUGCACAGUUGUAAAACCUGCAAGAAGCUCUCUGUACUGAUACAUAAAAAAACCCUGAAGUGUACAAUUUUAGUGUGAAAAGCAAGAUUCAGAAUGUGUAAAGUGUGUCACCAUACUGAUUUAAACAAAAAGCAUUUUUAAAGUGUGUUGGGGGUAGAUAAGAAUAUAUUUUCUUAUGCGUCUGUAUUUGCACAAAGCACUGGAAGGAUAAGAAACUCAAAGAAGUAUUUUUUCCCCCUUUGGGGGAGAGGGAGUGGAGAAUUAGGGAGACAGGUUAUUUGGGUGAGGCUUUUCAUUGUAUACCUUUUUAAAGAGUUUCAUUGUAUAUGUUUUCAAAAAACAUUAAAGAUCGGGUUCAUAGAUAAUUAAAUUAAACUAGGACUUUGGUAUUA